GAUGAAGAACGUAGUGAAAUGCGAUAAGUAAUGUGAAUUGCAGAAUUCAGUGUAUCAUCGAAUCUUUGAACGCACAUUGCGCCCGCCAGUAUUCUGGCGGGCAUGCCUGUUCGAGCGUCAUUUCAACCAUCAAGCCCCCGGCUUGUGUUGGGGACCUGCGGCUGCCGCAGGCCCUGAAAAGCAGUGGCGGGCUCGCUGUCACACCGAGCGUAGUAGCAUACAUCUCGCUCUGGGCGUGCUGCGGGUUCCGGCCGUUAAACCACCUUCAUAACCCAAGGUUGACCUCGGAUCAGGUAGGAAGACCCGCUGAACUUAAGCAUAUCAAUAAGCGGAGGA
rnacentral:misc_RNA from 1 species